CAUGGUUUGAGUUACCUAUGUAUGCGGGAGAAUGUAACACAAAAGAUUUUGGCUUUGAAGUUGCGUUGUCAGGGGACCUUUAAGUGGCACAAUCAAUCAAUGCACAGGCCUUGUUGAGAAAACAAAUGUAUUUGCUCGCUUCAGCAUUCUGCACAUUACAAAAGUGGCUGGCUGUAAACAUCUGCAGCCCCACCGCUGUGGCGCAUCUGUUGUUCUCCAAUAAACCCUAUUACACUACUACGUAUGGCCAUUGUCACUGAAAGCCACGUGCAUAAAAAUGAAUGUUAAAGAUUUGCUAAAAACUGUGCAUAACAAGCUGCUGCCCAACAUCAACAUGCACUUUGUGCCCAAGCAUGCUGCUAUUGUCAAAUUUGACGCAAAACAUGAUUUUAAUUCAUGACCUUGAGAAAUAGUUGGAAUGCUUAUUCUGAUUAUGGACUGAAAUGUUGCUAAUCUUGGAAGUUAUUUGUUCUUGGACACAUUGCACACUUGGUUCAGUGAAUAUGCUUGGUCAAUAUGAAUGUUUUAGAGUCUGAGCAUGCACUCUGAAUAAUGUCUUUAAAUAGAGAAACCAAAGCAAAUUUUCACAUUGUGCUUUUUAUUGGCAUUUCAGGAGGAACACAGUAGGAUGACUAAAGGACGUAACACUUCUGGACGGGAAUUAUAUGUUGAAGAAUUGUUUUGAAAUGUACAAUAACGAAGAUAUUGGCAUUCUCCUUGCACCAUCUUCUGCGAGCUGCAAAGGCUCUCCACCUAAAGUAUGACAAGGAAGCAGUAGACUCAUCAUUCACGAUGCUUAUUUUAUGUGCUUCCAAGGGAUGCGGCCAAAGGACGACCUGCGGAAUAUUCGUGCGCUCGAUCGGCGCCGCAAUCUCCCGAGCAAAGUUCACCUUUGCUGAAGAUCCAAGCGUAAGAAACUGAAGCAGCAGACGGCUUCAAGCCAUGAUCUGUGCGAAUCACCUUUAUGGGAGCUGCAAAAAAGAAUAAAAAGUGUAUCCCCAGUGUUUAUGUACUUUUAUUAUACUGUAACAGUAUAUUUCUGAACAAACCAUCUGAAACAUGGUGGAUCGGUAGCACUGCAGAAAGCCGAUGAAUGCUUGUGAAAACAUGGAAAUACACAAAGCAGCAUACGAUCUUA
rnacentral:lncRNA from 1 species